UACACUUUGACCUGCAGGAAUUGAAUACAGAAGAUUGCAGCCAGGUCUGAAUCAAAAAUUGCCUCAGAAUUCACCUGCCUUUAACUCUGUACUGAUGUCAGCUUUCUUUGGGUUCCCACUUUGUGGCUCUUGUAUCUCAAUGGUGGUUCAGGGCAGAUAAAGCAUUUCAGUUACUUCUGAGGAGGAUUCCAGGUGUCUACUUAAAAAUAGAAAGUGUUCCCAGGCAAGGAUUUCUGUCUGUAUUCUGCACUCCUGUACUCACAAAGAAGAAGAAAACUUCUUACAAAGUACUUUAAUGACAAAGGGCAAGGAACUGCCAAGCACAGUGGAACAGAAGAUUUGCCCUCGUCGGUGAGGGACAGUCAGGAAGGUCGGUGUCUCAGGGCUGGGAUUUCCCAUCCAUGCUGCAUGCACUUGGCUGGGCCGCUGACCAUUGUUUCAAGUGAUACGCUGUGCUGGCUCCCACGCAAGGUGAUUUUUUUCUAUGUCACAUUUACUGAACAAGCUCUUCUCACAAUAUCUG
rnacentral:lncRNA from 1 species